GCUGUUUGGUGAUGAGGCUCUGGAAUGUGCGCUGACACAGUGCCCGAGUCAGGCUGUAGGAACAUUCUUUGUUGCCUGCCUUCUGAGAGCAUC